UACGGAGGGUGCAAGCGUUAUCCGGAUUCGCUGGGUUUAAAGGGAGCGCAGGCGGGCUGGUAAGUCAGUGGUGAAAGCCUUGAGCUUAACUCGAGAACUGCCAUUGAUACUAUCAGUCUUGAAUAUUGUUGAGGUUUGCGGAAUGGGUCAUGUAGCGGUGAAAUGCAUAGAUAUGACCCGGAACACCUAUUGCGAAGGCAGCAGGCUAAACAAAGAUUGACGCUGAGGCUCGAAAGCGUGGGGAUCAAACAGG
rnacentral:rRNA from 1 species